rnacentral:lncRNA from 1 species
UAGCAUGGCGAUUCUAUCUCUAUUCUACCAAGAAACGACAAAGCUCUUUCUUUCCCACUCGACAUGUCUUCUACCCGAGCAUGGCGCGAGCUGUAGACUCGCGUUUCUAUCAAGAGAAAGACUUUCCAUAGCAACGGAUAAGUAGCUAGUGAUGGGUCGCUCUACGAUGAAUUUACGUUUAGUUAGCCAAAAAAAUGUGUCAAUGCACUAUUUUUCACGCAUGAACCUAUACAUAAACUCACGUAACUCAAAGUAACAACAAAACGUAUUCAUCGAACUUAUUUUUAUCUGUGGAACUAAAAUGGUUCAUGUUUGUUUGUUUACAAAAAACGAUUUUUGUUGUUGAUUUUACUUAUUUAAAUAUUGGUGAUUACUGCGUGCGGCAAGGAAAAACGUACGAAGUCCCAUCCAAUAAACAGAGAAGAUAGUAUCGCGAUCCAUUGGGAAAAGAAGGCCACGAUAAAGAAGAAUAGGUCCGUAUUCAAAAGCUGCUGAAAAAAUAUGGAAAAGAACGAGUUCUUGGCAUACAAUGCUGACACGAGAAACAUUCUGUUAAUUACAAAAAAAGGAUGCUGAAUGACAACUGGGUCGUCAGUUUACAAAUUAUAAAUUAUUGAAAUGAUAUCAUUUAAUAAAGAAUGUGAAUAUUAAAAUUAUAA